rnacentral:pre_miRNA from 1 species
CAGCUGUCUCUUGUGCUUGAUCUAACCAUGUGCCGCCGCCUACGCUCACCUCCACAUGGUUCCGUCAAGCACCAGGGACCGCUG